rnacentral:tRNA from 1 species
AGGUGCUUAGUCUAACUAAAAUAUUUGAUUUCGGCUCAAAAGCUUGUGGUUAAAGUCCACAAGCACCUA